rnacentral:rRNA from 1 species
CCUACGGGAGGCUGCAGUGGGGAAUAUUGCGCAAUGGGCGAAAGCCUGACGCAGCGACGCCGCGUGAGGGAUGAAGGUCUUCGGAUCGUAAACCUCUGUCUGCAGGGAAGAACGGUCACUGUGCUAAUCAGCAGUGAGUUUACGGUACCUGCAAAGGUAGCACAGGCUAACUCCGUGCCAGCCGCCGAGGUAAUACGGAGGGUGCGAGCGUUAAUCGGAUUUACGGGGAGUAACGCGUUCGUAGGCGGUAUGUCAAGUCAAGGGUGACAUCCCCGCGCUCAACGUGGGAACUGCAUUUGAAACUGGCAAACUGGAGUGGGUGAGGGGAUAGUGGAAGUCCAGGUGUAGGAGUGAAAUCCGUAGAGAUCUGGAGGAACAUCAGUGGCGAAGGCGACUAUCUGGCACAUAACUGACGCUGUGGAGCGAAAGCGUGGGUAGCAAACAGGAUUAGAUACCCAGUAGUC